GGGGAAUAUUGGACAAUGGGCGCAAGCCUGAUCCAGCCAUGCCGCGUGUGUGAAGAAGGCCUUUUGGUUGUAAAGCACUUUAAGCGAGGAGGAGGGCACUUAGGAUAAUACCCUGAUGUGUCGGACGUUACUCGCAGAAUAAGCACCGGCUAACUCUGUGCCAGCAGCCGCGGUAAUACAGAGGGUGCGAGCGUUAAUCGGAAUUACUGGGCGUAAAGCGCGCGUAGGCGGUUAUGUAAGUUGGAUGUGAAAUCCCCGGGCUUAACCUGGGCACUGCAUUCAAAACUGCAUAGCUAGAGUAUGGGAGAGGAUGGUAGAAUUCCAGGUGUAGCGGUGAAAUGCGUAGAGAUCUGGAGGAAUACCGAUGGCGAAGGCAGCCAUCUGGCCUAAUACUGACGCUGAGGUGCGAAAGCAUGGGGAGCAAAC
rnacentral:rRNA from 1 species